rnacentral:rRNA from 1 species
CAGUCGCCGCGGUAAUACGAAGGGUGCAAGCGUUACUCGGAAUUACUGGGCGUAAAGCGUGCGUAGGUGGUGGUUUAAGUCCGUUGUGAAAGCCCUGGGCUCAACCUGGGAAUUGCAGUGGAUACUGGGUCACUAGAGUGUGGUAGAGGAUAGUGGAAUUUCCGGUGUAGCAGUGAAAUGCGUAGAGAUCGGAAGGAACAUCUGUGGCGAAGGCGGCUGACUGGUCCACAACUGACGCUGAGGUGCGAAAGCGUGGGGAGCAAACAGGAUUAGAUACCCCGGUAGUCCCUGUCUCUUAUAA